AGUACUUCGCCUUGACUUCCAGAUUAUUUAAGUCAUUAAAAAAUUCGGAGGGCUAGUGCUCGUUUAAUUUUAAUCGCCUUGUGAGGAGUUAUUUGGAAAAAGAAUAUGCUGAUAAUUGUUCUUAGUUCCGGCAUAAUUGAUAAUGCAGACUACCUGUGCAGAAUCAGAUAGGUCCACUCCAAGCACAUUUCUUAAGAAAAGAAGCAUCCGAAUUGAAAGCCUGAUCCAUACCACUGAAUAUGAGAUCCCUAACCUUCAUCCCAAGACUCUGGUUGAAAUAUUUCGCACAGCUUGAAGGGCGACAGUCGAUGGCGAAGAGAUGACUUCAAGGGUGCUCUGUUCCAGUUUAGUGGCCAGGAUAAUACCCUUACUAGACCAUAAGGGUAUGAUUCUGGGCACUAGGCUGGAACAAAGGAGCCUUGAGUUCAUCUCCUCGCUGCCGACAGCAAAGUGUCCUUCAGGAGUCAGGCAUUGAAGUGCUGGAUGAGAAGAUAUAGGACCUGAAGGAUUUCUAGGAACAGGGACGAAUAAGGAUGCAGCACCAGUUCGAUGGAUCCAAUAUUGAAAUGGAUAACUCGAGUAAAAACUAUAGAGGAACUUUUAAGUAAAUAAUUACAUAUCCUCAA